AGAGGCCAGGUUUACACCAUUUACUGUGAGCCAUGAGGUUGGAGUGGCAGCCAAGGCACCAACCCACAAAGGGUUCCAGAAAUGGUUUGAAGAGCCCAGUGUUUCUCGUACAAAAUGGAAGGUCAGCCACCAGGAGUAGUACUCUUAUUAUCAAAAGAAAUCAAGGCUGGAUGAUGGGAGGCUGAAGACGGCUCAAUACAAAGGCAUGAUCCCUUGCCAAGUUCUAGUCAGUGUUCAGGCCUGGGACUGUCUAGUCUUUGAAGAGGAGGCCAGGUCCCCAGAACAAAGGACCAUGAUCAGAACUAUCAUGAUUGUGGAGGCCAAGUGGAGGCCUCUGUACCUGUUUCCAUCCCUGGUCAAAAUAAUACCGUUUGGAUUCACAUGGAGCAGACAACAGUAUGCAUUUCCCAUUGCUCCAGGGUUGUACCUUUCCAGUCUGUCAUAGUUCACGUACCACCUGGGUAUCUGAAGAACAUUGUGCCGAUUUGCUCCUCUGAUAGCUUGUCAAUGGAGUUAGAUUACAGGAAAUGUCUGGCACAUUGGAAGCCUUGGUAAGAAACGUGCAUUCCAUUGUUGGAGAAGAUGCCUGUGAAGAUUCAAUUAUCUGCCACAUGAGAACAAUUUUGAGUGCCCCAACAGUUGGGGACAUGCUGGUUCCUAUCAUCCAAAGUAAAACAUGAGUUAUACCACUUGAAUCUCCUGCAGAGAAGGAAGCACAAUGCCUGAGAGGACUUUUCAGGUUUUGGAGACAACAUAUUCCACAUCUCAGAACACUCUCUGCCUUGUAUACCAGGUGACACAAAAGACUGCCACUUAAAAAAAAAAAGGUUUUAUUUGUUAAAGAAGGAGAGCACAGGGCAGGAGCAGAGGGAGAGGGAGAAGCAGGUUCCCUGCUGAGCACGGAUCCCAACACCGGGCACGAUCCCAGGACAUUGAGAUCACAACCUGAGCCAAAGUUCCCAACGCAGGGCUCCAUUCUAGGACGUUGAGAUCACGACCUGACCAAAGUCAGACUCUUAACUGACUGAACCCAAAAAGACUUCGACUUUUGAGUGUAUCCCAGAAUAGGAAAGUUCUCUGCAGAGCAGCAGAGUCUAAGCUGCAGUUGAAAGCAGCCUUGUUACUUGGGCAUAAGACUGAGCAGAUCUCAGAAGAUUGGGUGUAUCAUGGGUAGGGAACGAUACCUUCCAGGAGUCUGGAGCAAACCCAUGCUGUCCACAGAGGUGGCUCGGAUAUGUUUCAUAAAGCCGUUCCUGUAAUGCUGCUGGGCCCUGGUGGAAGACCGUUGGACAUGACAUGACCGCAUGCCCAGAACUGCAUCUUGUGAGGUUGGUGGAGAUGAGUGGACAAGACCCUCUCAAUCUCUUGGAUCUUGCAGCACAGAGCCUGCGGAAUGAGAAGGCCUCAGCUGUACGUGACCUGGAAGAGCUCCCUGUGGGCCUUUUCCCAACUCUGUCCACAGCAGCCUUUGAUGGGGGACACACGAAGACUGUGACAGCAAUGGUGCAGGCCUGGCCCUUUCCCUGCCUCCGUCUGGGACCGUUAAGAGAUCAGUCAAGAACUCAAGACCUCUUGGAAGCCGUCCUGGAUGGGCUGAAUUGGUUCCUCCUAAGGCUGUUUGGCCCAGGAGAUCAAAGCUGAAGGUGCUGGAUUUUACCCAUGACGUUGAGCACUCCAACUGGGAGGAGUGCUCGGAGGCUACUCCUGCACCCUUUGUCAUCACUCACAUGCUAGAAGAGCCGGAGGCGGACAAGCUGACACCCAGUUACAAAGAACAGCCUUAGCAUCACCGAGAACCCGAGGAAAUACACAGAGACCUUUUCCUAGGUGGUUUGUUCGGCUUCUUCCACCUGUCUGGGUUCCCCUCGUACAUACUCCAGAGAGUCGAGAAGAACCAUGGCGGUCUGCGCCUCCACUGUCAGACACUGGUCAUUGUCCAAGUGCCAUUCCUCAGCCUUGUCGAGAUCCUGGGGAUGCUGGAGCUGGAGACCAUCCGGGAGCUGAGGCUUCAUUACAGGAGUACGUUCUGCUCCCGUUCUGACCUAAUCCAGUUUUUUUACCUGCGCAAGGGUAAAUGAGCAACCUGGGCAACCUCAUCAUGAACGACAUCCCCUGGGAUUUCCCUGCAGACUGUUUCUUUUUGCUGAGUCCACUGGGCCGCCUCUAGAAGCUCCAUCUCAUCUUUGGCUGUCUCUCGGGCCAGCUGCAUAAGAUGCUGAGUGAGUGUGCGACAAGUCCCUCUGAAGGGCCAGGGGCCAGGAUCCCUGGAGUCGUCCCUGAACCCCGCUGCGUCGGAGCAGAGACAAGCCUGGAUUUCCAAUCCUGUGAGGCCGCAGAGUCACUGAGGACACAGACUGCAAGGCUGAGGUCUUGGACCAGCCAGUGGCUGUCGAUUGCUAUAGAAGAGAAAGAUGCAGGUCUGAAAUUGGCCUGUCAUUCACUCUUUCAUUCAUUUUCACGCACUCAGUCCGUGCCAAGCAGACAGCUAAGAAUGGAUAUGAAACUCUGACCAAACUCAGGGUCUCGUCUUCCUAGAGCUUAUGUAGAGAAAGUGAACCAGGAUGGUAGGUUGUCAGGGUGGUGUUUGAGGGAGGGAACUGCCCCCUCACCAAUGUCUAAGCUCAGCUGAUUUGAUGAACUCCUUCCUCUCUUUUGUGUCUCACAGACUUCUCUGUAGCCUGCCCCCCCCUACCCCCCCCCCCGAAUACAGAGCUGUUCUCCUGGGGCCUGGUCUUUGAGUAAAUAGAAGCAUGGGGAACCAUCUUCCCAAAUUCUCCAGCCAGUAAAACCUAUGCUUUACCAUGUGUAGGAGCUAUAGCUAAAUUUCAUUAAUUCAGCCACACUUUGUGGAGCAUGUGCGAUAAUUGUGUUGAUGGGGCUUAUUAGGAAGCUAAGGCUGAGAGGUGCCUGACUCCAUAGUCUGCAAACAGAGAGGUCCCAUGGCCAGCGGGGAUGGGUUUCACUCCACACUCUGUGGUCUUAACCACUACAGAAGCCUGGCUCCCACCAUGUGCAUCCAGACUCGGGUAGGCAUUGUGCCAAUUUCUCAGGCCAGAUUUCUGGAUCUUUCCCAAAUGUAUCUAGUGGGACACUCGAGUUUCCAAGAAGUGACUGUGUCUGUCUGUCCACAAUGGCCUGCAAAACCACUGGAGACGCUGGUGAUCAAUGGAUGCAGGCUCAUUGAGAAUGACAUCACCUACUUGUCCCAGAGCAUUCGUGCCACCCUGCCUGAAGGAGUUGGUUCUCUGUGGCAAUAACCUGUCCCACACGGUUCCUGGGCCCCUCCAGGUUCUGCUGGGGGAGGUGUCUGGCACUCUACAGCACCUGAACUUGUGCAGCUGCCGGCUGAAGGAAGCCCAGCUCCGAACCCUGCUUGCCUGCUCUGUGCUGCUGCUCGAGCCUCCCCUCGCUCGUGUUCUACGACAAUGUCAUCUCCACAUCGGGCAUCACGAACGUGCUUCAACAGUUAGGAGGGUUGAAGGAGCUGAAGCGUGUGCAGUCCCCUGUUCCUGCUGAAUGUGUUGUAUACUUGGAUGAAUACAGGUGGGGGAAGCUCAACAGAGUGGAACUCUCCCGGGUGCACGCCAAGUUGCAGGAAAUGUUGCAACCACCCCAGCGGGCCGACAUGGAGUCAACUAAUUCUACCUCAGUGGCCUGACAAUGAAAACGCACAGCUGACCUGAUGGGGAAGAGGAGCAGCAUCUGUCCUGGAGCUGUGGUUGUGGAUUUCCCGGAUGGUGUGGCUUCAAGGAAAACUAUCAAAACAAGAAAACACAACCAACGCUCCAGUGGGGACUGCUGUUUCUGGAUCCAGCUGGGGCUCAAUUCUUCAUGAAAUCGACAAGCACUGGUCAAACAUGGACACUGUGCAAGUGUUCUGAUGCUGCGUAUAAAAGGACAACUUCGCCUGACACUGGUACUUCUAGUCUGUUUACCCAGUUUCCCUUUCAUUAUGCUUCAGUAUUCCCACUUUGAACAACACGCAGUUGGGUGAGUUAAUUCUCAAAACAUUAGUUUAUAAAGUGAGGUCAAUGAAAUGUUCAUCAAAGGAAUAGGUGAACGUGAUACGAUCAACACGGAGCGUUCAUUCAACUAUUUAUUCAAAUAUUUGUUGACUUCCUGUUUUGUUCAGAAACUGCUCUCACCGGGAAGACGGUGUAAACAUUCGGGGUGUCUGCUCUCCAAGAACUUAGCUUUGAAAGAGGAUGGGGCCCACUAAACCAAGUCAGCAGACCCGUAAGAAAGCUGGUUUCAAAGGAGCGCUGUAAGAAUGACAGAAGGAAUACCAGUCUGAUGAGGGCUUAUUGGAGUUAGGAGCACUAUGAGAUGAUUGAGAAUAUGCAUCAGUCUCUGCCCUCAGUUGCUGGCACAGAGCUCCUGAAACCUUGUCAUUUCCUAAGUAAUAACACUAGGAACAUCCUCUGUUCCAGCAUUUGGUCUUUGACCCCCAUCCCUGACAGAGGGCUUUUGUUCUUUUAAGAUUUUAUUUAUUCAUGAGAGAGACAGAGAGAGAGAGAGGGGCAGAGACACAGGCAGAGAGAGAAGUAGGCUUCCGCCCAGGGAGCCCGAUGUGGGACUGGAUCCUGGGACACUAGGACCACGCCCUGGGCCAAAGGCAGGGUAACCCACUGAGCCACCCAGGAGUCCCCAGAGGGCUCUUGAAAGCUUUAUAAAUUCCCAAGUGAUAAGGGUGCUAGGAUCAUCUUUUGUUCUAAUGAGGUGGCUCAGGCUGUGCUCUCAGAUGACUCCCAGAUGGGACUGGUCCCCAGAAAGAUGAGGCCAUGAUUACGAGCUUGGAAUUUUAGGCCCCAUCCCUCAUCUUCCAGAGCAGGGAAGAGGGGCUGGAAAUGGAAUGAUUGAUCAUGCCUAUGUGAGGAAACCUUCCUAAAACCCCAGUCAUAGGGGAUUUGGAGAGCUUCCACCUAGAUGUACCCCAACACCACAAGGACAGAAACUCCUGCACGUCCUCCCCCCGCCAGGACUUCACCCUGUGGAAAAAUCGCCUCACGCCUAAAGUGUCAGAAGUCACUUGUGUGAAGAGUAACGGAGACACAGGAGAGACUCCCAGCAGGGAAGCCCCAGGUUUUUCCCUUUGAAGGAGGUUGCUCACCUCUGCUCUUCAGAUCUGGGGUUUUUGAGCUGAGGCCGGUUAUCCUAGAGCCGCUAUUGUCUGGAGCAAGUCCCUGGUGCCUCGCAGGCAUGUGUCCUGGUCUUCCGCUGCCAACAGGGUAUCAUGUACAUAUUGCAAUAAGGUCGAAUGAGGGUGCUCGGACUGGAACUCACCCAAGUCUUCGUGUAAGGCCUCAUCGAAGAUGGUCAGUGAAUUUUUGAAUCCUUGUGGCAGUCGAGUCCAGGUGAGCUGGCCAUUGAUGCCUUUCUCGGGGUCUGUCCAUUCAAAGGCGAAAAGGUCUUGGCUCUUGGUUGCUAAAGGCAGGCUGAAAAAGGCGUCUUUUACAUCUAAUACAGUAAAGCAAAGUUUGUGUGGAGGCAGGGUGGAUAGGAAGGUGUAUGGGUUUGGGACCGUAGGGUGCAUAUCCUCCACUCGCCAGCUGACUUCCCUUAAGUCCUGGACUGGCCUGUAAUCAUUAGAGUGCGGUUUCCGCACCGGCAGAAGAGAGUGAGUGUUCCAUGCCGACUGGCAAGGUCUCAAUAUGCCCAAGUCCAUUGGUUACCAUAUGUGGGGUGUGGUUCCCGUAUGGGCUAUGGGAGGCAUGGGGUAUUGGCGGACCCUGACAGAUCUGCCCCUGGCUUUAGUUCUAUGUAAAUGGCCAGUCGGUGCCAGGCAAGCCCAGUUCCCCCAAUUUCUGCCCAUGCUUGGAGAAAUUCCUGCAUCCAAUGGUCAAUGUCAGUCACUGGGGCCGAGGGCAUUUGGUGAAGACGAUAUUCGUCUUCUAAACUCAGGACAAGCACCUGAAUCGGGUGCCCCUCCUUGUUUAGGAUUUUUGCCCCUUCGGGGUGGAAGCAAAUUUGUGCCCCCAUCUUGGUGAGCAAGUCCCAACCUCACGAUGGGUAGGGACACUCAGGGAUGACCAUGAAGGAGUAGGACACCCGGCCCAUGCCUAGAUCCACAGUUGUCCGGGUAGUCCAUGAGUACUGUUUGGUGCCCGUGGCCCCUUGCACCCAUGAAGUUUUGCUAGCCAAUUUACCUUGGGGUUGUAAUAAAACCGAAUGUCGUGCCCCAGUGUCCACUAGAAAUUCAGCGGGUUGCCCCUCCACUCUGAGAGCUACCCUGGGCUCAGGGAGGGGCGCCGAACCCCGACUCCUCUAGUCGUCCAUGUCCUCUAUCUCCAAGUUUUUGGUAGGGGCCUUGGGUCUUUUGUUAGGGCAGUCUUUCACCCAGUGGCCCUCCUCCUUGUAAUAAGCACAUUGGCUUUUGUUCAGUUUAGGGCACUCCGGAUGGGAACCAGGGCCAUCGUCCUUACCUGUCCCUGAAGCCAGUUUCUUGAGGUAUCUCCGACUUUCCCGUGGGUCGUCCAUGGUUGUGGCCAGGAGGAUCUUGGCUAGGUUUCGGGUCUGCCGGUCACUUAGUUUGAUGCUCUUCCAGACUUUAUUAUUAUAGACUUUUUCUGCUACUAUUACUAAGUCCUGCAAGCUCUUCUCCCCCGGUCUCUCUACUCUUUGCAAUUUCUUUUUAAUGUCCGGAGCGGCCCGGUUAACAAAGGCCAUGAUCAUUGCGGCCUUCGUUUCUGGGGCUCCUGGGUUCAUAGGGGUGUACUGCCUAAAAGCCUCUAUGAUCCUUUCUAAGAAGGCUGCUGGACUCUCAUCCUUACCUUGUCUUACUUACAUCAUACACCUUGGCCAGAUUUGUAGGCUUGCCGGGAGGACGGAAGUCGGCAGGCGUAAGGGAUGUCUCCCAAGACCCUUGGUCGACGGUCUGCCAGCACAACCGCCUAAGCCAGUGUCGACCUAAUACAGAUUGGAAUUCCUACAGGUAAAAAUACAGUUUAGAGCUCUCGGGAAAUAUGCGCGCAAAAGGUGGAAAAAGUUGAGUAUACUCUCCAUGCCUGGCACCCUCCAGAUGGGGUCCUAGGGGUCUCUUGGAUCCCGGACGAGCCCCCAAAUGUUGUGCCCAAGAUUGCAUAUCUGAAAAACCACCAAGGAGCCGACAGCGAUGCAAACACAUGAGGAUUUAUUUACAAUCUCGAGCUUGGGUCCAAGUAUAUACCCGACACGACAGAGCAGGGGUUUGGACCCUGAGGUGGGUUACAGCUGGGUUUUUAUGGGCUGCUCUAGGGGUUUAAGAUGGUAGCCAGAGAUCUUCUCUCUCUCGGCCUCCACAGAAAGAGGCUUGCUUUCAGUACUUGAGAGGGUCUAACUAUAGCCCAUCCGGCCUCACUUAUUCCCUGCUCUACAAAGCAUCUGCCAUCAGUAUACAGAUUCCACUCAGGAUUGUCUAGUGGAGUCUCCUGCAGAUCCUGCCUGGCAGCAUCAUCUUGCAUUAUCAUUUGUUCACAGUCGUGUUCCAGUUUAGCAGCCUCCUCUGGCAAGAAAGUUGCAGGAUUUUAAGAUGUACAAGUUGUAAUGCAAAUAUGGGGUUUCUCUAGGAGUAAGGCUUGAUAUUUCAAGAGGCGACUAUCAGCCAGAAGCCUCCUUUUGAUUCCCAUAGUCUUGUUACAUUAGGAGGGGGGUAACCAGUUCUUUCUGCCCCCAAGGUUAUCUUAGUAGCUCCAGGUAUUAGAAGCUCAAUGGUGCUGCCACCCGUAAACAAGCCGGCCCUCCUUUUGGCACCAUGUCUGAUUCUUUGCUUAGGUAUCCUGUCGGUUGCUGAGUUGAUCCCCUCGUCUGGGUCACAACUCCAAAUGCUAUUCCCUUUCUUUCUGUAACAUACAAGUUAAACUCUUUUCCUACAGGAAAUUAGAGCUGGAGCUUUUAAUGAAGCUUGUUUAAGUUUGUAAAAGGCCCAGAUGCCUGAGUGGCUAAGCUGUUGAGCAUCUGUCUGCCUUUGGCUCAGGGUGUGAUCCCAGGGUUCCAGAAUAGAGUCCCGAAUCCAGCUUCCUGAAUGGAGCCUGCUUCUCCCUCUGCCUAGGUC